rnacentral:rRNA from 1 species
CUUGGGAAACAGGUGCUAAUACCGGAUAAGAAAGCAGAUCGCAUGAUCAGCUUUUAAAAGGCGGCGUAAAGCUGUCGCGUAUGGGGACUGGCCCCCGCGGUGCAUUAGCUAGUUGGUAAGGUAAAGGCUUACCAAGGCGAUGAUGCAUAGCCCGAGUUGAGAGACUGAUCGGCCACAUUGGGGACUGAGACACGGGCCCAAAAACUCCUACGGGGAGGCAGCAGUAGGGAAUCUUCCACAAUGGACGCAAGUCUGAUGGAGCAACGCCGCGUGAGUGAAGAAGGUUUUCGGAUCGUAAAGCUCUGUUGUUGGUGAAGAAGGAUAGAGGUAGUAACUGGCCUUUAUUUGACGGUAAUCAACCAGAAAGUCACGGCUAACUACGUGCCAGCAGCCGCGGGUAAU